rnacentral:rRNA from 1 species
GACGAACGCUGGCGGCGUGCUUAACACAUGCAAGUCGAACGAUGAACCCGGAGCUUGCUCCGGCGGAUUAGUGGCGAACGGGUGAGUAACACGUGAGUAACCUGCCCUUGACUCUGGGAUAACUGCUAGAAAUGGUAGCUAAUACCGGAUACGACCCUCGGUGGCAUCACCAGGGGGUGGAAAGAAUUUCGGUCAAGGAUGGACUCGCGGCCUAUCAGCUUGUUGGUGGGGUGAUGGCCUACCAGGGCGACGACGGGUAGCCGGCCUGAGAGGGUGACCGGCCACACUGGGACUGAGAUACGGCCCAGACUCCUACGGGAGGCAGCAGUGGGGAAUAUUGCACAAUGGGCGCAAGCCUGAUGCAGCGACGCCGCGUGAGGGAUGACGGCCUUCGGGUUGUAAACCUCUUUCAGCACCGACGAAGCGCAAGUGACGGUAGGUGCAGAAGAAGGACCGGCCAACUACGUGCCAGCAGCCGCGGUAA